rnacentral:sRNA from 1 species
GUGAUAUACCUAAUUUAAUGAUUUGCAAAAUACAAAAAAAUAUGCAAAUCAAUGAUUUCCCUGGUGUUGGCGCAGUAUUCGCGCACCCCAACUUCGGU